UGGAUGACGAAAACAUUGCACAUGGGGAAAAGCCAAAGAAACCUGCCUUGUAAUCUCUCAAUGCUCUUUGCCCACGGAGUGGGACUGGGUGCAAUACGCCCUGCACAUUCUGAUUUUUGCUGUCAUUAUUUGACAGAAACCCUAGAAAUGUAUGCAAUGCUUAAAAAAAUUCAUAUUUUUUUUCUCAGGAGAUAUUAUAGAUGUACUAUUAUGAGCUGUGCAACAAAAUGCAAAUGAAUGUGAUGGGAGAAUUUAUGAGAUAAUCUUUUCCUCUUUGCCAUUUUAUGCCAUGUUGAUGGACAAUGAUUUUGCCUGGUUGUCAUGUUGGGGCAGCCAUCUGGUUCAGGGCCAGUUUAAAGCUUCCUGCUUUGUCACUUAGAAUUAUAGGGCUAGAAGCACCUCAGUGAAACAAUAACAUUUCACUCAAUUGUAAGGCCAGUGUUUAUAUUGACAGGGGAUUGCAUUUAUGGUUAACUCAUUAUGGACUCUAGUUUGAUCUCAUUUAAUUUGGACAAAAAAUAAUCUUCACCCCAAUAACAAUCACAAAAAACAGGAAACACUGUGAGGAGUUGUCAUGAGAGUGAAUUGGAGAAGUGGCAUGCUCAGUGGAUACAGUCCAGAUUUCAGUAUUGAGUAACACGCUUGCAGCUUCUUGUUUAAUCUUUGUCUCCAUGUUGCUACACUGCAAAACAAAUACCAAAUACAAACAGUGCACUGGAUGCAUUCUUAUUAUGGUACUGUGAGCCUACACACCACACCACAGCUUUUUUACUUACUGUUGUGCAGUGAUGUCACUUAUGAAUAACUCCCUCAUCCUUUUUCUGGUCUAGUUGCUGCAUGAGAAAUUCAAAAUCAGUAUGGGUGUUAACGUGAACCAAAUAAAACUCUGAAUGAUGAGCAUAAAAAGCUACUGCCGUCCAUUUUCUCCACCAAGGAUAUUCAGAUAUAUACUGUAGAGAAAACCUUUUAAAAAAGUAAUUAAAAAAAAAUCACAUUUUGAUUUGGAAAGAAAUGCAAUUCAAGCUUUUUUAUAUGUGGCACAUCUUGCAAAAUCUAAGAAUGGACUUGUAAAGGAACUACAAAUACUGUAAUAUAUUAAUUUUAACAGCAUGUGUAGUUUUUUGUAAAUACAGGAUUACUUUAAAACUACAGCUAUUAAUCUAACACUAAAUAUUAUUAAUAAAUAGAAUGGCUUCAAGCUCACACCCCUUGUCACACACGAUAGGCUGUGACACAUUUAUAAUAUGGAGUAGAUUUUUCAGUCAAAUUUCACACAACAGAAGAAAGAAGUACCUUAAAGGACAAUAUUAAGCUGUUUAAAAAUUGUACAAAUCACUCUACACAUGCAGAGCUAUAUAAUGUAUAUAUUAUAUAUAUUCUACUGCAUAUAUAGGAUAUAUACAUGAGGAAAAAUGUAUGCAGCUCAACUUUGCACUCCUUACAAUGAGGUGAAACCACAGCGUGUAACUGAUCAUGCUUCUUUCUUUGGUGUGUUCAGAGAAUUAUCCAAACUCUGUUCUGCCCAGGAUUUCUGCGUGCUAGGUAGCAGCGUACAAAGCAUGGCGUCGUACUGGCUGCUUGCUGAAAAUUUUGGCGCCUGCCUUGGUGAGAGGAUUGCACUACCAGCGUACCCUUUUGUACACAUGCCAGUGUGUUGCCCCAUAUUUGUUAUAUACACACAUACACACAGUCAGUUGUGCACGUGUAAAGCCUUUAGCAGGUGAAUGCUGGCUCACUAUUGUGCUCCAAUACGAGCCACAGAUAACUUCUACUUAUUUGCUUCUUUUAGCUCUGAUGUGCUUCUGUGUUUCACCUUAACACUGCUGCAGUUUGGGGCUGUGUAAUUCUGUGCGUGUGUGUGUGUGUGUGUGUGUGUGUGUGUGUGUGUGUGUGUGUGUGUGUGUG